AUUUUUAUAGUGUACAACAACACAUAACAUUUUCAUUGUUAAGAUGCUCAGCUAAAAAUA
rnacentral:tRNA from 1 species